rnacentral:tRNA from 1 species
GCGAAAGUGGCGAAAUUGGUAGACGCGCUGGAUUUAGGUUCCAGUGCCGCAAGGCGUGAGUUCGAGUCUCUCCUUUCGCACCA